rnacentral:rRNA from 1 species
AUCCAAGGAAGGCAGCAGGCACGCAAAUUACCCAUUCUCGGAACGAGGAGGUAGUGACGAGAAAUAAUAAUAUGAACCUUAAUGGUUUGUAAUUAGAAUGGAAUGGAUGCAAAAGCUCCAUUGAUGAACGAGUAGAGGGCAAGUCUGGUGCCAGCAGCCGCGGUAAUACCAGCCUCUACAAGCGUAUGCAAAAGUUGCUGCGUUUAAAAAGCUCAUAGUUGGAUCUUUUUAGGGAUACGGUAAACCUGUCGUCUUGAAAUACUAGACGGCCGGCGUAUGUCCUAUAAACCACGCAUCGAGUACACUGAUUGCACUUAACUGUGUCGAUCGGUGGAAACGGUGUUACCACUCUAAAUAAAAUAGAGUGUUCAAAGCGUCCUUUGGGAUUGAAUAAUAAAGCAUGGAAUAAAGGAGAAUGACCUGCGUUUCGAUUUAUGCCUGUGGCUGAAAUGCGGUAAUGAUCAAAAGGAACAGGCGGGGGCAUUUGUAUUGCUACGUUAGAGGUGAAAUUCUUGGAUCGUAGCAAGACAAACUACUGCGAAAGCAUUUGCCAAGAAUG